CCCACAAGACAAUAAAGUACCUACUCACUUGAACGAUUAACUUGGGUCUCUUGACCUGAAAAUGUUUAAAUUGUAAUAGCUAAGCACCGUCAAUUACAUUUUAACAUUCCAUUUUUUAAAUAGACCGCACAAUUACUGUCUCACCACGAAGAAAAGUGAUUUAUAAAAUCAAAUGAAGCUUUUCAAUGAAAUUUAGAUGUUAAAUCUAUUGCGAAGAACCGUUUCGUAGUUUUCCUUGUGAAAAUCAUCGGAAGUUGGAAAGGAACGAUCUAUCGAGACCAUGCAUAUUUUCCUUGCAGCGCGCGGAAAUAGUCGCGGACAGGGUGGAUCGAUACCUUUGAGUUCGUCCAUCUUUUUAUCAUUCUAAUACUUCGCAAUGGGUUUUUUGUUACCAAGGCUGAAUCUAGGUUAAUUCAAAUUAUUCAAAUCAGGUUAUCUUCAAUUUAGACUGCUCAUGCAUGUUUUCAGAUAAGUUUAUGCUAAAUAUGCUGUAGUUGAGGAGUUUGGCAUUUUAGUUAUACUAAAUAUUCACAACUAAUUCCAUUCAUCCUAGGCCCUGAUACACCAGUAUGGAGUCGCCAAAAAACCGCGAGUUUCAACACUGGCUCGUGAGCAACAUUCCCGCCCGAUACAGUGGCAUCAAGGAGGGUGAGACGUUGACGGAAUACAAAGUAGAGUUGACACCUUUGUACGCUGAAGGUCGAAUGAUACCCUCCGAACAAACUUUCAACGAGAGCCUUUGUCAAAAAAUACAACUUGACAAUAAUUGGAGCAAACUACGUGAGACUAGAUUUUAUGCGUUUUGAUCCUGUGCCCGACAUUGAUCCUUACCCACCAGAAUGUGCGCCCGAUAAAAUAGUUCGCAUAGAUGAGUAAUCUUUGCAAAGGAGAUUACCUCAUGUCAUUCAGAUUUGAAACGUAUGAAGAAAGCAGUUACAGAUAUUAUUCAGAGGACCUAAAGAUAAUUAUCCGCAGGCUGCCGCCACACUGUUUAAAUAAAAUAGUUGAUUGAUUGACUGUCAAACUUACAAGAAAUUUAAAAAAUUACCUUUGAGUUCCUGCUGAAGAAGCUAAAAAGGGAAGUCGGAGGAAGAGGUCUAAUAGAAUGGGUAUUAAACUUUACGCCUGUUGAGAGUGACAGGCAUACACAGAGAUGCUUGCAAGUGUAUUUGAGGAAUAAACUGGUUAUUCGUUUUGGUAAAAAAAAAUGAGGAUGCCACAUGGAUGGAAAAAGACCUUUAAUCUAGAAAUAUAUUUUGUAGUUUUUUGCAUGCUUACAAAAAAUCAUUUUACUUCCUAGACGAUAGUAAUUCUUCGAAUGGUUUUGGGCUCUCGUGGCCAUACAACUGCUCUCUUGAAUGAAAAUACGAAUUUAUAUUUUCAUUCUUCAACGGUAAUCUUAGUGGUCUUUUCAACUUCCGCGUGAAGCACUACUCGUACAUAGCAAAGUAAGCAUACAUCUAUUCUUUCGAAAACUAAAUCUAAGAAGGAAACAGUCAUGUUUUAUCAAGGUAUAGGCUGUUUGGCAUGUACCUUCGAAUAUGUUCAUUCUUAGCCAGCUCUUCAUAAGGCGGAAUUUUAUAACCCAUUAUCGGUUCAGAACUUGAAUUAAGCUGGAGAAAAUUUAUCGCGUAUGGAUCGCCCAAAUCAUACUUUCUUGAUAAAUUUUCCCAGUGAAAGUUUCUCGCAGAUUGUCUGAGGCACUGCAACAUAAAUAAUUUGGUUUGUAAGACAAAAUUGAAUCUAUAAAAGCAGGCUAAGAAUGAUUGAAGAAAUCGAUCACUUUAAAAAAUAGUAAGCCACUCGUGCUGUGCUUUUUAAAUACAUCUCUGGUAAUUAAAUUAUGCAUUACUGUGCUCUUUAUUUCGUUUUGUGCUCCAACGCAUAUAAUUGUUGUGUAGAGAUGUAUGCUUAGUGCUAAAAGAACCAUAUGCAACGCUUAGGCGCUUAUUCCAGGAUGUCUGUUUUAUAUAACAUGGAUAUCUCAGAAUCGCCUACCCUAGAACUCCAGAUCAAUAAAUUCUUGCUCACGCUUCUUCGGUCUUUGACGUAAAUAUUUGUUCAAUGAAGACAUUUUAAUUGGGAAAGGCGGUGUGAAUACUUGUAGGGAAAAUCUCAUUUCGACUGAGACUUUUCAAAAUCCCAGCGA
rnacentral:lncRNA from 1 species